AGACAAAAUACGCAUUCCACAAUCCUUGAGCGCUAAACAUAUGAAAGCCCCCAGAUGCACUAAUAGAAAGGAUCAAGUGAUAUGGUCCAUUCAAUCUCCUCAGACCACGGGCAGCAGUGCGAGGGUUAAUAAACACAGUAAGGAAGCCCACUAAGAAAACAAUCCAAACAGCUUCCUUCCUCUGUACUGUCUGCCCAACAUAUUGUGGUGUAAGUAAU